GAAAAGCCCUUGUUGCGUGCAAACCAGUCAGCGGAAAGACAAUACGUGAUUACAAUCGAGCCGUCCACAUGUGUACAGAUACAGGAUAAAGGGAAUAACGUUUAGUGCAAGAUAAAGUCCA